rnacentral:rRNA from 1 species
AUGCUGGAGGUAUCAGAAGUGCGAAUGCUGACGUGAGUAACGACAAAACGGGUGAAAAACCCGUUCGCCGAAAGACCAAGGGUUCCAGUCCAACGUUAAUCGGGGCUGGGUGAGUCGACCCCUAAGGCGAGGCCGAAAGGCGUAGUCGAUGGGAAAAUGGUUAAUAUUCCAUUACUUCUGUGUAAUGCGAUGAGAGGACGGAGAAGGCUAAAUCAGCCUGGCGUUGGUUGUCCAGGUGAAAGGAUGUAGGCAUGUAUCUUAGGCAAAUCCGGGGUACUCUAUGCUGAGAUCUGAUAGCAAGCUGUACUUGUACAGCGAAGUGGUUGAUGCCAUGCUUCCAGGAAAAGUCUCUAAGCUUCAGUUACACAGGAAUCGUACCCGAAACCGACACAGGUGGUCAGGUCGAGUAGACCAAGGCGCUUGAGAGAACUCUGCUGAAGGAACUAGGCAAAAUGGUACCGUAACUUCGGGAGAAGGUACGCUGUUGUUGGUGAUGGAACUCGCUUCCUGAGCUGACGACAGCCGCAGAAACCAGGCCGCUGCAACUGUUUAUUAAAAACAUAGCACUCUGCAAACACGAAAGUGGACGUAUAGGGUGUGAUGCCUGCCCGGUGCUGGAAGGUUAAUUGAUGGGGUUAGCGUAAGCGAAGCUCUUGAUCGAAGCCCCAGUAAACGGCGGCCGUAACUAUAACGGUCCUAAGGUAGCGAAAUUCCUUGUCGGGUAAGUUCCGACCUGCACGAAUGGCAUAAUGAUGGCGGCGCUGUCUCCAGCAGAGGCUCAGUGAAAUCGAAAUCGCUGUGAAGAUGCAGUGUACCCGCGGCUAGACGGAAAGACCCCGUGAACCUUUACUGCAGCUUGACACUGAACUUUGACCUUACUUGUGUAGGAUAGGUGGGAGGCUUUGAAGCUGGAACGCUAGUUCCAGUGGAGCCGUCCUUGAAAUACCACCCUGGUAAUGUUGAGGUUCUAACUCUGUCCCGUGAUCCGGGACGAGGACCGUGUCUGGUGGGUAGUUUGACUGGGGCGGUCUCCUCCUAAAGAGUAACGGAGGAGUACGAAGGUGCGCUCAGCGUGGUCGGAAAUCACGCGUAGAGUAUAAAGGCAAAAGCGCGCUUAACUGCGAGACCCACAAGUCGAGCAGGUACGAAAGUAGGUCUUAGUGAUCCGGUGGUUCUGUAUGGAAGGGCCAUCGCUCAACGGAUAAAAGGUACUCUGGGGAUAACAGGCUGAUACCGCCCAAGAGUUCAUAUCGACGGCGGUGUUUGGCACCUCGAUGUCGGCUCAUCUCAUCCUGGGGCUGAAGCAGGUCCCAAGGGUAUGGCUGUUCGCCAUUUAAAGAGGUACGCGAGCUGGGUUUAGAACGUCGUGAGACAGUUCGGUCCCUAUCUACCGUGGGCGCUGGAAAUUUGAGAGGAUCUGCUCCUAGUACGAGAGGACCAGAGUGGACGAACCUCUGGUGUACCGGUUGUGACGCCAGUCGCAUCGCCGGGUAGCUAUGUUCGGAAGGUAUAACCGCUGAAAGCAUCUAAGCGGGAAGCCUACCUCAAGAUAAGAUUUCCCUAGGACUUUAUGUCCUCUAAAGAGCCGUUCGAGACUAGGACGUUGAUAGGUUGGAUGUGGAAGCAUAGUGAUAUGUGAAGCUGACCAAUACUAAUUGCUCGUGAGGCUUGACUAU